UUAGGUCCUGUGCCCCAAAUCACUUUCUUCUCCAAAUCUACCUGCCUUCCCCCGACCACCGCCGCCCCCGACCACCUUCUGCAAGACCCUAGAUCCAGCUCCCUCCCGGAUCACGCCGCAGAGCACACUUCGCCGCCCCCAACUACCACCAAGGAAUCCUCGCCUUCUCCAUGCUUUCCUCCCCGGCCAUAACCGCUUUCGUUCUCCAUGACCUAGCGCCGCCGCCAUCCUCUGCCACCGUGCUUCCCCGUGCAGCGGCUUCCGGGAUCUCCUCGAAUGCCGAAGGGAAAUCGGCAUGGGCAGGAGGGGAACCAAGCCUCUUCUGAAAUCCAUCCGGCGGCGCAUCGAAGUGUGGCGGGCGACGGCGCAUCUUCCUCUCAACCCCCAUCCAGCUCCGUUCAGCUCCAUUCGAUAACGUCUCUUCCCAUCCUCUCCUUGUGAACUUCAGCACCACCUCCCGCUGCUCUAAUCCAUAGAUCGGCGCAGGUGAAGUCGGCAUCCUCUCUGGCGAGUUCAGUCAAAGCCGCUCGAUUUGGACAGGGCAUACAUGCAUAUAUUACCACCUGUGACUGGACUGCAGCAAGAGAUGCGUUGUUGGCAUGUAGGUUCAGCCAUCAGUCAGGGUGAUCGAUCAAUGGAGGUGGUGCUCGAAGCCUAACUACAAGCACUGUACUCAAGGCCUAACUUGGGCUCUACGUAUGUCUCCUCCCUAUACAUCUGAUGCAGAAGCUACAAGCAGCGCAUCCCCAUGACAGCUUCAGAUGCAUGAAUGGAUACUCCCAUAAGAGUUGGCACCUUGUCACACAUCGUAAGCACUACAAAAUUGUGAAGGAGGUCAGCCGCCACAACACUUCAUUUGCCUGCUUGUUGCCUGCAAAAGACGAUAGCUUAAGAAAAGUGAUCACAAAGGUAAAACAUAAAAAUAACACCAUCUCAUGUACUGAUCCUACCAUCUUUAGUUAUAAAUUAUGAUCAAUUAUUUCCUGGAAAAUUCUUUACGUGUUGGCUGUAUCUGGAUGCUAUGGAAAAGAAUAUAUCGAGCACAUUAUGUUACGUGUAUUUCUUAUAGCAGCUGGUGCUACUGAAAGUGGUGAUUUUACCUAUUUUCCUCUCAAUCCAGUUCAAAGUUCGUAUAAGAAUCCAUGUGUUUAAACGGUGGGUCUCCUUGCUAUAGUUAUUUUAGUUUACACAUUUUGAUUGUUCUGCAGGUUUCCGUCCAAAAACUUCCGUUGCUGAAAAACUCGCUAUCAUACGUGUUCUUCCAUUGCUAUUGUUUGGUAUUUUCGUUUCUCCUUCAAGUCAUCAAUAGUUAAAAGAAUAUUUAAGGAAAUUACUUAUGAAAAACACGAAGGAUGGUUCAUUAGCUAUGCAUCACACUGCCGAGAUCAUUGGUGCGAUCCGGUUUCUUUGGUUUGUAAUCUGACUAUACAUGCAGAAAAUAUCAUGAUAUUGUUGAAUAUGCACUAUUUUCAUGUAUUUUACCUCUUAUCAUGUGUAGCAUAUUGGAGGAGCACCAUGUAGUACUAUCUUUCGUAUUCUGUUGGAGAUGGUUGUGAGCUCUUAUACCAAUUUAAAAACCAGUGAUGCAGCUUUACAACUUUACUGAAAGCACUUGUAAAAUUACCGUUACAUGAAUGAAUCAGGGGUAUGGUAUGUUCCUUGUAGUACUAUGUAUUGAUUAAACACACAGGUACCCUAUGUUGUUAUGAAAGUUGAAUCGACUCAUGUUUUUCCAGAACUUAUUACUCUUGGUUCUGAUUAAAACUCGGCUGUAAAAUACACUAGUAUAGAUGCAUUAGGAGCUGUUGCUCAGCAUUUCAAAAGUGACAUGGUUGUUGACAAGAUACAUAUUAAAAUGGAUGACUUUCUUGAAGAUGGGUCACAAGAAGCUACUAUUUUGGUCAUUCAAGCACUUGCAAUAGCUGUGCCGCAUUCAACAGAUAGACUAUGUAAAUAUAUCCUACUCACUACAUUUUGACCAAAAUUUGCAUGGUUGAUUCGCUCACUCUUUGUUCACACAUCUUGAUAUUAAUAUGUUCUUCUAUUUCCUUUGACCUUGCAUACAUCUUUUAACCAAGAUAUUUAAACUUACAAGUGUCCCACCUACCGGAAAUGAUACUGAACGGGCGUCGUGAAAGAGCAAAUGUAUUCCGUGGAGCGUUGCGUGCUUUCGAUGCUACAGAUCAACAUUAUAAUUAAGGUAUUGUACACCUCUCCCGAAGGUUUGGCAAGAUCUUGAAGGUGUUGGAGGCUUGGCAAGAGCUGCAAGUUGGAGUGAUGAUACUUCUUUCCUCUAGCCAUUUCCUGUUCUCUUUUACUGUACUGCUUUAUCUUUAAGUGCUUCAAUGUACAUUGACUGCAAAAACAAAACCAUGGAACCAGGAAGCUGAAGCAUGUAUAUUGAAACAUAUGUAUCUGGUCUGUUAUGUUUAUGGAAUGAAGUUUCAGGUUUUGGAUGA